CGCAUCUGUGCAUGCAGCAUAUCAAUAAGCGGAGGAAAAGAAACUAACAAGGAUUCCCCUAGUAACGGCGAGUGAAGCGGGAAGAGCUCAAAUUUGAAAUCUUAAAGGGUUUCCCUUUACGAAUUGUAGUUUAAAGAAGUGUUUUCUGUUGAGGUUUUGGUAAAAGUUCUUUGGAAUAGGACAUCAUAGAGGGUGAGAAUCCCGUAUUUGACCUUUACUUUCAACUUUGUGAUACACUUUCAAAGAGUCGGAUUGUUUGGGAAUGCAGUCCAAAAUGGGUGGUAAAUUUCAUCUAAAGCUAAAUAUUGGCGAGAGACCGAUAGCGAACAAGUACCGUGAGGGAAAGAUGAAAAGAACUUUGAAAAGAGAGUUAAACAGUACGUGAAAUUGUCAAAAGGGAAGCGUUUGACACCAGUGUUGUUUUUCUGAAAAUCAAUUAAAGAACUGUUUAUGCUAAGUUGUUUAGACUUUAUCAGCUAACUGUUUAGUUUUGAGCUUUUCUUUAAUGCACUUUUCAGUUAACAAGUCAACAUCAAUUUCUUUUGCUGUAAAAAAGCUUGAGGAAGGUGGCUUGAGAUUCGUCUUAAGUGUUUAUAGCCUCUUGCCUAUGCAGUCGGAGAGAUUGAGGUCUGCAGCGUAGAUCCUUCGGGACUAAAUGCAUUUGUGCUAAGUUAUAACAUUUUAUAGACAACUUGUUGACUAUGAUUUGUCUUGUAGCUUACUCGCUUAUGUUAUUUUACCUACGCUUAGGAUGUUGACAGCAGUAUAGACUGU
rnacentral:rRNA from 1 species